CUGAUAAAAGUAUUCAGAAAACAUGAAAUAAUGAAUAGUUUGUAGAUGAGGCACUUACUGUGCGAGGUGGUCAAACAACUGUGUGCACACUGAGGGAUUUCUCAUCCGGCAAGAGCUGCUCCUGGAAAGAGGAGGGAAAAAGACAGUGACCUUGUGAAGUGGGAAAAGAAGAAACCUGCCUUUUGGCUGAAUGUGGCACGUGAAAAGUUAAGAAUGGUUCUUGACCUGUCUGGUGAAAAGUUGGUGACUUGCCUGAGAAAUAAAAAAAGAAGGAUGGAUAGACCUAAAAGCAAGGAUUCAUGACUGAGACAUCUCGACAUCCCUGCUGGCUGCUGCAGGAGCCAGGCAUCACUUAGACACAGUGACUUGUAGAAGUCGAGAGGACACCAUUGUCCUGCUCCCUGGAAAUGCAUCAAACUCACCCUGAAAAACAAAAACCCAACAACAAAAGCCUAAUCCCCAACAUGAACAGUAUAUCUCAACCAGUUCCUCUUCUAUCAGUUAAGAGCAGAAAUACUGGAUGCCAGUAAUACCAUUAAUUGUAUUUCUAGAGAAAAAACAGCCAAAUUCUUUUGACAUAUAUCUCCUCAUCCAUACUGCUUUAGCCUGCAUAAUUUUAGUGGUCAAGCACCUACUUUGGGUAACAUUUUUCAGUCCUUGAUGGAUAGUCGCAGCAGAAAAUUAUAUCUUUCUGUCAGUAGGUAAAUAGGUUGCCUGUGUGUAUUGUCACAGUCAGGUUGGAUUCUAUAAAACUUCCCUUUCCAGAAAAAGAUAUUCAUUACUAACC